rnacentral:rRNA from 1 species
ACGAACGCUGGCGGCGUGCCUAAUACAUGCAAGUCGAGCGAAUGAUUAGAGAAGCUUGCUUCUCUCUGAUUUAGCGGCGGACGGGUGAGUAACACGUGGGUAACCUACCCUAUAGACUGGGAUAACUUCGGGAAACCGGAGCUAAUACCGGAUAAUACUUCGAAACACAUGUUUUGAAGUUGAAAGAUGGUUUCGGCUAUCACUAUAGGAUGGACCCGCGGCGCAUUAGCUAGUUGGUGAGGUAACGGCUCACCAAGGCAACGAUGCGUAGCCGACCUGAGAGGGUGAUCGGCCACACUGGGACUGAGACACGGCCCAGACUCCUACGGGAGGCAGCAGUAGGGAAUCUUCCACAAUGGACGAAAGUCUGAUGGAGCAACGCCGCGUGAAGUGAAGAAGGAUUUCGGUUCGUAAAACUCUGUUGCAAGGGAAGAACAAGUAGCGUAGUAACUGGCGCUACUUUGACGGUACCUUGUUAGAAAGCCACGGCUAACUACGUGCCAGCAGCAGC